GGUCCGUUAGCUCAGUCGGUAGAGCGUGGUGCUGAUAACGCCAAGGUCGUGAGUUCGAUCCUCACACGGACCA
rnacentral:tRNA from 1 species